rnacentral:rRNA from 1 species
AGGGCGCACGGUGGAUGCCUUGGCACUAGAAGCCAAUGAAGGACGUUACUAACGACGAUAUGCUUUGGGGAGCUGUAAGUAAGCUUUGAUCCAGAGAUUUCCGAAUGGGGAAACCCAGCAUGAGUUAUGUCAUGUUAUCGAUAUGUGAAUACAUAGCAUAUCAGAAGGCACACCCGGAGAACUGAAACAUCUUAGUACCCGGAGGAAGAGAAAGAAAAUUCGAUUCCCUUAGUAGCGGCGAGCGAAACGGGAAGAGCCCAAACCAACAAGCUUGCUUGUUGGGGUUGUAGGACACUCUAUACGGAGUUACAAAGGACGACAUUAGACGAAUCAUCUGGAAAGAUGAAUCAAAGAAGGUAAUAAUCCUGUAGUCGAAAAUGUUGUCUCUCUUGAGUGGAUCCUGAGUACGACGGAGCACGUGAAAUUCCGUCGGAAUCUGGGAGGACCAUCUCCUAAGGCUAAAUACUCUCUAGUGACCGAUAGUGAACCAGUACCGUGAGGGAAAGGUGAAAAGCACCCCGGAAGGGGAGUGAAAUAGAACCUGAAACCGUGUGCUUACAAGUAGUCAGAGCCCGUUAAUGGGUGAUGGCGUGCCUUUUGUAGAAUGAACCGGCGAGUUACGAUUUGAUGCAAGGUUAAGCAGUAAAUGUGGAGCCGUAGCGAAAGCGAGUCUGAAUAGGGCGUUUAGUAUUUGGUCGUAGACCCGAAACCAGGUGAUCUACCCUUGGUCAGGUUGAAGUUCAGGUAACACUGAAUGGAGGACCGAACCGACUUACGUUGAAAAGUGAGCGGAUGAACUGAGGGUAGCGGAGAAAUUCCAAUCGAACCUGGAGAUAGCUGGUUCUCUCCGAAAUAGCUUUAGGGCUAGCCUCAAGUGAUGAUUAUUGGAGGUAGAGCACUGUUUGGACGAGGGGCCCCUCUCGGGUUACCGAAUUCAGACAAACUCCGAAUGCCAAUUAAUUUAACUUGGGAGUCAGAACAUGGGUGAUAAGGUCCGUGUUCGAAAGGGAAACAGCCCAGACCACCAGCUAAGGUCCCAAAAUAUAUGUUAAGUGGAAAAGGAUGUGGCGUUGCCCAGACAACUAGGAUGUUGGCUUAGAAGCAGCCAUCAUUUAAAGAGUGCGUAAUAGCUCACUAGUCGAGUGACACUGCGCCGAAAAUGUACCGGGGCUAAACAUAUUACCGAAGCUGUGGAUUGUCCUUUGGACAAUGGUAGGAGAGCGUUCUAAGGGCGUUGAAGCAUGAUCGUAAGGACAUGUGGAGCGCUUAGAAGUGAGAAUGCCGGUGUGAGUAGCGAAAGACGGGUGAGAAUCCCGUCCACCGAUUGACUAAGGUUUCCAGAGGAAGGCUCGUCCGCUCUGGGUUAGUCGGGUCCUAAGCUGAGGCCGACAGGCGUAGGCGAUGGAUAACAGGUUGAUAUUCCUGUACCACCUAUAAUCGUUUUAAUCGAUGGGGGGACGCAGUAGGAUAGGCGAAGCGUGCGAUUGGAUUGCACGUCUAAGCAGUAAGGCUGAGUAUUAGGCAAAUCCGGUACUCGUUAAGGCUGAGCUGUGAUGGGGAGAAGACAUUGUGUCUUCGAGUCGUUGAUUUCACACUGCCGAGAAAAGCCUCUAGAUAGAAAAUAGGUGCCCGUACCGCAAACCGACACAGGUAGUCAAGAUGAGAAUUCUAAGGUGAGCGAGCGAACUCUCGUUAAGGAACUCGGCAAAAUGACCCCGUAACUUCGGGAGAAGGGGUGCUCUUUAGGGUUAACGCCCAGAAGAGCCGCAGUGAAUAGGCCCAAGCGACUGUUUAUCAAAAACACAGGUCUCUGCUAAACCGUAAGGUGAUGUAUAGGGGCUGACGCCUGCCCGGUGCUGGAAGGUUAAGAGGAGUGGUUAGCUUCUGCGAAGCUACGAAUCGAAGCCCCAGUAAACGGCGGCCGUAACUAUAACGGUCCUAAGGUAGCGAAAUUCCUUGUCGGGUAAGUUCCGACCCGCACGAAAGGCGUAACGAUUUGGGCACUGUCUCAACGAGAGACUCGGUGAAAUCAUAGUACCUGUGAAGAUGCAGGUUACCCGCGACAGGACGGAAAGACCCCGUGGAGCUUUACUGUAGCCUGAUAUUGAAAUUCGGCACAGCUUGUACAGGAUAGGUAGGAGCCUUUGAAACGUGAGCGCUAGCUUACGUGGAGGCGCUGGUGGGAUACUACCCUAGCUGUGUUGGCUUUCUAACCCGCACCACUUAUCGUGGUGGGAGACAGUGUCAGGCGGGCAGUUUGACUGGGGCGGUCGCCUCCUAAAAGGUAACGGAGGCGCUCAAAGGUUCCCUCAGAAUGGUUGGAAAUCAUUCAUAGAGUGUAAAGGCAUAAGGGAGCUUGACUGCGAGACCUACAAGUCGAGCAGGGUCGAAAGACGGACUUAGUGAUCCGGUGGUUCCGCAUGGAAGGGCCAUCGCUCAACGGAUAAAAGCUACCCCGGGGAUAACAGGCUUAUCUCCCCCAAGAGUUCACAUCGACGGGGAGGUUUGGCACCUCGAUGUCGGCUCAUCGCAUCCUGGGGCUGUAGUCGGUCCCAAGGGUUGGGCUGUUCGCCCAUUAAAGCGGUACGCGAGCUGGGUUCAGAACGUCGUGAGACAGUUCGGUCCCUAUCCGUCGUGGGCGUAGGAAAUUUGAGAGGAGCUGUCCUUAGUACGAGAGGACCGGGAUGGACAUACCUCUGGUGUACCAGUUGUCGUGCCAACGGCAUAGCUGGGUAGCUAUGUGUGGACGGGAUAAGUGCUGAAAGCAUCUAAGCAUGAAGCCCCCCUCAAGAUGAGAUUUCCCAACUUCGGUUAU